ensembl:lncRNA
AUUGAGGUUGAGAGGAUAUAUCGGUAAUUUAGGAGUGGAAAACAUGACUGGAACGCUAUUGCUGUUUCCAAACCAGCGCUACAGCACGAGCGUUAGGCAGGCACGGCUGAAUGUACUGGAGAUUGGGAAAUUCAGGUGCGAGUGUGGUGGUAGUGCUGUAAGCCUGCACUUUUUCUCGGUGUCGGGGCUGAGCCUCCCAGAAGCGAGGGGAGGACGCGAGUUGCCCCUCGCUUGUGCCUCUCCCGCACCCUGCGCCUUGCUGUCCCCCGGGAGAGGCCCUGGAGGGGCAGGAGCUACCCUGGCUUCUGGCUGGACCAGUCUCGCCAUCCAUCUAGAGAGYGUCUCCAAGGACAUUUAGCUUUUUGUAGCAAAAGCACUAGGGCGGCCAAAGCUAUAGCUCUAGAAUAGACGCCCCGUCUUGUCAGCCCGCGAGGACCUUUGCGGGUGAGAUGGUGCAAGGGGAGAACAGGGCAGCUCAGCCACGUGAGCGCGGGGACGGUGAUGCAGCCCCAGGAGGCGGGUUGGACCUGGCUGGCCGUGACGCUUCGCUAGCAAAACCGCGCCGAUGUCUGGCCACCCUGUUGAGGCUGGCGGGAUGCAGGAUCCUGGAGGGACAGAGCUGGUGCUGCAUGGGAAGGGAGGAAUUGGUGUUCCCGAAUCUGCCACGAGAUGGGGCGGCCGGCACGGCUCUUCCUGCCGUUCCCUCUGCCGCGGAGGCCGUUCGCUCCAGGGCACAGCACUGAUCUUCCCGGGCCCAGCGGCAAGGCUGCCCACAUCCGUCAGGACCAAACCCCCAUGCCAGGGGACAUGCCGGGAGCGCCUGGGCGGAGGUCACCGCCCGCCAAGAGAAUGGACUGGCCUAAACCAAAUCAACCUCACGCUGAACCUGCCUUGAGAAUGGCUGCAGAGUCCUCGAGUCUUGUGUUUUGCUCGGAGCUGUGUUGUAAAGCAUUUUCAGAAGCGGUUAUAGAGGUGGAGAAUCACCUGAUGCACCAUGACGUUGACGGAGCGCGUGCUGCCUCUCACACUGCAAAAAUCCUCAACAUCAUGGCGCUGCUGCUGGGGCUGGUGGCUUUAGGCGUGGUGAUCUUCUACUAUGUCAGCUACUGGUAGAUGCUCAGCAGGGCACCAGCACAGUCCACCAUGAUGGCCUUCCAUUAAGAGCUUCGGCUGAGCCCAGAAUCGCAGGGCAGGGGUGAAGGACUCUGCAUCUGUGAAGUCUGUCUUGAAACGCUGCUUGGUUUGGUUGCUUUCUCUUCCCUAAAUUUAUUGGUAGUUAACAAGAGCUUUGCUUCCGAAAGGACCUAGGCUCUCACACACUGGCAUUGCAGGGACAUGGAUUUAGGUGCUCGGGGUGGAGUCCCCAGUCAAGCACUGCUCUUUCCUAGGCACUCUGCCUUGCCUGGACAAGCCACGUUCAUAAGCCCUCAAGUUUGGGGAAAUGUUUUGUGGGGUGUGUGUGUGCACGUGGGCGAAUUGCAGACGGGGACAGUGUGGGGUCAAACUGGUGGUCGUGCUUACUUUAUUUUAUUUUUUUUCUUUGCUGUGAUAGCUCAACACUGCAAGCUGCUGCUCGUCUCUGUAAGAGCAGUGUAYGCUCAGUGCAAGGCCAGACAAAUGACACUUAAGUUGUUGCUUGGGACAUUGUUCUCCCUGCUGGUUAUUGUGUUGUCCUAAAUAAAUGGCUUGUUAGUAACA